UGCCGGCCUAGCUCAAUUGGUAGAGCAACUGACUUGUAAUCAGUAGGUUGGGGGUUCAAGUCCUCUGGCCGGCAU
rnacentral:tRNA from 1 species